UACGUAGGUGGCAAGCGUUGUCCGGAUUCAUUGGGCGUAAAGGGCUCGCAGGCGGCCCGGAAAGUCGGAUGUGAAAACUCGAGGCUCAACCUCGAGCGUGCACCCGAUACUGCCGGGCUUGAGGCAGGUAGGGGAGAUCGGAAUUCCUGGUGUAGCGGUGAAAUGCGCAGAUAUCAGGAGGAACACCGGUGGCGAAGGCGGAUCUCUGGGCCUGUCCUGACGCUGAGGCGCGAAGGCCAGGGGAGCAAACGGG
rnacentral:rRNA from 1 species